GCGCUCACUUCAGCAGUACAUAUUCUAAAAUUGAAACAAUACAGAGAUUAGCAUGGCCCCUGUGCAAGAAUGACAAGCAAAUUCAUGAAGUGUUUCAUAUUUUU